rnacentral:rRNA from 1 species
CCUACGGGUGGCAGCAGUCGAGAAUCAUUCACAAUGGGGGAAACCCUGAUGGUGCGACGCCGCGUGGGGGAAUGAAGGUCUUCGGAUUGUAAACCCCUGUCAUGUGGGAGCAAAUUAAAAAGAUAGUACCACAAGAGGACGAGACGGCUAACUCUGUGCCAGCAGCCGCGGGAAGACAGAGGUCUCAAGCGUUGUUCGGAAUCACUGGGCGUAAAGCGUGCGGAGGCUGUUUCGUAAGUCGUGUGUGAAAGGCGCGGGCUCAACCCGCGGACGGCACAUGAUACUGCGAGACUAGAGUAAGGGAGGGGGAAGCGGAAUUCGCGGUGUAGCAGUGAAAUGCGUAGAUA